rnacentral:rRNA from 1 species
GAUGAACGCUGGCGGCGUGCUUAACACAUGCAAGUCGAACGAGAAAUGGAGACGGAAACCUUCGGGCGGAAGGCUUCAUUUCGAGUGGCGGACGGGUGAGUAACGCGUGGGUAACCUGCCUCAUACAGGGGGAUAACAGUUGGAAACGACUGUUAAUACCGCAUCAGACCACAGCACCGCAUGGUGCGGGGGUAAAAACUCCGGUGGUAUGAGAUGGACCCGCGUUCGAUUAGCCAGUUGGCGGGGUAACGGCCCACCAAAGCGACGAUCGAUAGCCGAUCUGAGAGGAUGACCGGCCACAUUGGGACUGAGACACGGCCCAAACUCCUACGGGAGGCAGCAGUGGGGAAUAUUGCACAAUGGGGGAAACCCUGAUGCAGCGACGCCGCGUGAGUGAAGAAGUACUUCGGUAUGUAAAGCUCUAUCAGCAGGGAAGAAAAUGACGGUACCUGAGUAAGAAGCCCCGGCUAACUACGUG